rnacentral:tRNA from 1 species
UCCCUGGUGGUCUAGUAGCUAAGUCUCUGCACCUCCAUUGCAGGGGGCACAGGUUCAAUCCCUGGCUGGGGAA